GCGUGCCUAAUACAUGCAAGUCGAGCCGAAUCACUUCGGUGGUUAGCGGCGGACGGGUGAGUAACACGUGGGCAACCUGCCUGUAAGACUGGGAUAACACCGGGAAACCGGUGCUAAUACCGGAUAAUCCUUUUCCUCUCAUGAGGAAAAGCUGAAAGUCGGUUUCGGCUGACACUUACAGAUGGGCCCGCGGCGCAUUAGCUAGUUGGUGAGGUAACGGCUCACCAAGGCGACGAUGCGUAGCCGACCUGAGAGGGUGAUCGGCCACACUGGGACUGAGACACGGCCCAGACUCCUACGGGAGGCAGCAGUAGGGAAUCUUCCACAAUGGACGAAAGUCUGAUGGAGCAACGCCGCGUGAGCGAUGAAGGCCUUCGGGUCGUAAAGCUCUGUUGUUAGGGAAGAAUAAGUACCGGAGUAACUGACGGUACCUUGACGGUACCUAACCAGAAAGCCACGGCUAACUACGUGCCAGCAGCCGCGGUAAUACGUAGGUGGCAAGCGUUGUCCGGAAUUAUUGGGCGUAAAGCGCG
rnacentral:rRNA from 1 species